CCUCUUUCUAUCUUUUUCCAUCUUUUCUUUUCCUAUAUGUGUCCUCCAACCUCCCUCUCUCUCUCUCUGACCAGCCAUCUCUCCUCUCCUUUCUUUGUGACUCACUAUCUCUCCUCUCUCCCCUCUCACCUCUCACCUCUCACCUCUCACCAAUCCGCCCUCCAAACGACGCCGCCACCUCUACGACGCCGACGCCAACACUGGUACCCGCGACCCUAACUUGUCUCUCUUUUUCUGAUGAAGCGAUUCUCCCACUUCUUCUCUCACCUCUCGCUUUUCCUCGACCCCAUCCCCGUAUAUCUUCCUCAAUCUCUUGAAGAUGUUGCGCCUCCGGGGAAGACGAAGACGCCGCAUCUUUCUACCUCAUAGUGUUGUCUUCUUAUUCAACAUUUGGUAAAUCAACCCCUCAAUAUAAAUGGCUUAUUAAAUAGCUACCAAAAGUGGACAGAACAGAGACACCGUGGCUUAUUGUUCUGGUUCAUUGCCCACUAUACAAUAGUUAUGUGGAUCAUUUCAUGGAGGGGGAACCCAUGAUAGUGGUUUUUGAACCAUGAUUCGUGAAGUACAAAGUUGAUGUUGUUUUCUCAGGCCAUGUUCAUGCCUAUGAAGGAUCUCCUUGCCUCUUAUAUGACAGACGAAGAUAUCCAAAAGGGCAUACUGUAUCCAUCUAUUAAAAUCUGGGUAAAUUGCUUCCAUUGCCACUACUUCAAGCCUUUUCACUUCCACUGCUUUUUGUUGUUAUUGUUGCUGCAAACUUAUGGUAAAUUUUGUUAUUUUUCAAUAAAUUUUGUUAUUUCCUUGAACAGUUUUUGUUUUUCAUUUAUUGAAAUUUAUUCUAAUGGGUCAUUCUAUGACAAAAAUCACUACAAGAAUUUGGUAUUGAACAUCAGAAGAUCUCCUUUGCCUUUUUGCUAUUGAAGGUCCUAUAUGUCCUAUAAGUCCUAUAUAGGUGAAUUCUUACUUAUUUAUUGAGAAUGAACAAGAAAUUUUGGGUUCUUGUAUUCAAAUAUUGAUUCUCUGUUUUUUUUCCCCUUAAUUGUCCUGAUUGAUAGUAUUGUUGAGCUAUUAUAGUUUGGGCUACAAGGAUAUGAGUUUUUGCACACAAAUCAACUAGUAGAUUGACCCAAUGAUAAAAUCUCACUUGCAAAAGAAACUUUUCUUUAUUUCUAUACAAAAAUUGGCUUAUGGGGUAUAGUUGAUAUGCCUAUUUAUUGGCUUUAAAUUCUAGUUAUUACAUUUAUAUAUGAGAAAUUGGCUCAUGGGGUAUAGUUGAUUUGCCUAUUUCUUGGCUUUAAAUUCUAGUUAUUACAUUUAUAUAUGUGACAUCAACUUUCCCAUGAUCUGGGUGCUACUGUAUUUUCAUGUCUGGUGGUCUUAGAGAACAACUUUUAGUUCUUGUUUAUAGGGUCUCUAUUAUGAUCUUUAUUGCCUAAAUAAUCAUUGAUAUUUUAUUUUGCCUAAAGAUGUAAGCCUAUAUUAUUUUGCUUCAGUCUAUAUUAAUUGAUCAGGUCGCUUAUAUAAUUGAUGUUUCUCAAUUUAUUGAUUUGGACCACCCUCAUCCCCUCAAUUUUCUAUGUGAAGAUUGUGUUCAUGUUUCAGUAAAAGUUACCUGGACAACGUUAAUGCUGAUAAAUGUAUGUACCUCUAUUCAAUUAAAUCUUUAAAUUUUUAGCAUCAAAGCCUUAUAAAAUCUUGGGUGGCAUGCAGUAUAUUUUUUUUUUCAAAUAGCAUGGUGUGGCUGAUAUGACAAUUAGAGACCUAUUUCAUUUUAUAUUUGAUCCAUGUUGUAGAUGAUGGUGUGGAAAGUUAUCUUGAAGAGGUAUUCCCUUAUGUGCAGUCAAAUCUUAUUUUUAUUUUUGUAAGAAUCAUAGGAAAAAUUCUGACUGCCUUUGUUUUAUAUCAACUGCAACAAAGAAUCAUGUCGAAAAGGGACAUAGCUGUAAAGGAACAAAUUGUAGAUUCUAUAUUUGUGCAUGUAUCAUAUUCAAUAUAGAUAAAAAUAUAUCUAAGCAUUUUUUGGAUUUUUUUUCCUUUUUUUUUUCUUUCUCUGUUUUAAACAGCUUAGAUGCUGUUGAUUUGGGGUCUUCUAGCCCUUCACCUUGCUGGUUGAUUCAAUUCUACCUUUCAACUAUUGCGAACAAAACUUAUUUCUUGGUAUAGAAUGAAAAUAAGAUAUGGAGGGUUGCUAAAGCCAUCCAAAUGGCAACCAGUGAAAUAUGUAAACUUAACAACUUGUAGAAAGUAAGUGUGUAACAUAUUUUGAUUCAAUCAUAUAUAUAUAUAUAUUAAUUUAUAUAUUCAUGUAAUAGUCUUAAUAAUUGAAAGUUCCUGAGUUUAGUCCUUGAAGAGUUCUCAGUCAUGAAUGGUACUGUGUGUUAAUGGGCUUAAUAAUUGUACUUAUGUUUUCUUUACCAUUCCUAUUAAAAAUCUAUACUUUAAUAAAUAAUAUUAAUGUUAGCUUCUCUGUUCAGCUUGGCGAGAAAAAAUAACCCUAUACACACACCCAUAUUUGGACAUCCCUCCCACCUGUGUUUUACCUAUGUCCAAAUAUGGGUGUGUAUAGGGUUAUUUUUCUCUUUUCAGAAAGAAAAAAAAAAAAGAAGGGAACAAGGAUAAGAAAUGGCAAUCAACAUACUGAAGAAGCAUAGAAGAUUUGGGCUUGAAAAUUAGGAAGAAUAUUUAUAAAAGAAACAUGAUUGAGAAUUAUGUUGUCUUGUUGAGAUUUGUUGUAUUAUAUCUUUUGAAGUUUAUGGAUUUAUAAUAUUAUAAUGAAUUUUUAUUGAUAA